CUGGGAUUGCCUUAGUAACGGCGAGUGAAGCGGCAAUAGCUCAAAUUUGAAAGCUGGCGUCUUCGACGUCCGCGUUGUAAUUUGUAGAGGAUGCUUCGGCGAGGACUCCUGCCUAAGUUCCCUGGAAUGGGACGUCACAGAGGGUGAGAAUCCCGUAUGUGGCGGGCGGUCUAAGCCAUGUGAAGCUCCUUCGACGAGUCGAGUUGUUUGGGAAUGCAGCUCUAAAUGGGAGGUAAAUUUCUUCUAAAGCUAAAUACCGGCCAGAGACCGAUAGCGCACAAGUAGAGUGAUCGAAAGAUGAAAAGCACUUUGGAAAGAGAGUUAAAAAGUACGUGAAAUUGUUGAAAGGGAAGCGCUUGCAACCAGACUCGUUCGCAGUUGCUCAGCCGGCCUCUUGGCCGGUGUACUCUUCUGCGGUCGGGCCAGCAUCAGUUCGGGCGGCUGGAUAAAGGUGUCGGGAAUGUAGCUCCCCUCGGGGAGUGUUAUAGCCCGGCGCGGAAUGCAGCCAGCCUGGACUGAGGAUCUCGCUUCGGCAAGGAUGCUGGCGUAAUGGUUGUAAGCGGCCCGUCUUGAAACACGGACCAAGGAGUCUAACAUCUAUGCGAGUGUUUGGGUGUCAAACCCAUACGCGUAAUGAAAGUGAACGGAGGUGGGAACCCGCAAGGGUGCACCAUCGACCGAUCCUGAUGUCUUCGGAUGGAUUUGAGUAAGAGCAUAGCUGUUGGGACCCGAAAGAUGGUGAACUAUGCCUGAAUAGGGUGAAGCCAGAGGAAACUCUGGUGGAGGCUCGCAGCGGUUCUGACGUGCAAAUCGAUCGUCAAAUUUGGGUAUAGGGGCGAAAGACUAAUCGAACCAUCU
rnacentral:rRNA from 1 species